rnacentral:lncRNA from 1 species
GGGAGAAGGGCCGACAGCAGAAACCAGAGCGUCCUGUGAGAUGAAGAAAAGGCCGGGAACCUGUGGCCUGGAGUGCACAGGACUCACACUGCUGUAUGGAGCUUCAGACUGUCCGUGGGACCGAGCCUUUCCCUGAGGCCUCUGAGUGGCAGCUCUCUCAACAGCCUCUGAGUUCCUCCCCUAUAUAAACUGCGAAAUUUACAAAUCCAGGUCAUGAACCUCCUGAGAAAUUGGAUCCCUGUUCCCAUGUGGCAGCAACUAGAGAAGCUCCGUGGCAGCUUGACCUGAGGUAUCUUCAUCCACUACACCACAG